CCACCCCCCACCCCCUAUCAGCUCCUGGCUUCCUGGAAGAGGGACAGACCCAGAUCUCAACGAAGAAGAGAAGCAUACCAAGGGCUUCCAUCCUCCACUAGGCGCCUGUCGCCUGUUGCCUGUCCCUGCCUGAUUAAGGAACCCUAAUCAGCUUGGGGAGAUUAAAGGUUCUUGCCUGCUGUUCCCACACCCCCGCCCUGGGCUAGGUUGGCAGGAAGACAAAGGGGAUCGACCCUGGGACUCCUUACCCUGGCCCUGGGCCUGAGCCCCAGACUUUUCGGGAGACUGGGUUUGGCUGAAGAAAUUCCCGGGGGAUCAUCAUGUAGCUAUCCGCUCAGCGACCAAGACGGCCUUUUCUACAUUUUAUACUUCGAGUAGCCACUUUGAAGAUAAUGAUACAUAGUCUAUUAGCUAUUGUUAUUCUCUUAUUAUUUUGUUAUGAAAUUUUAAAAAAUUUUUUCAUAAAAUAAAGUCACUGGGCCGGGGAUUUAGCUCAGUGGUUCCGG
rnacentral:lncRNA from 1 species